rnacentral:rRNA from 1 species
GAUUAUGGCUCGGGAUUAACGCUGGCGGCGUGCCUAACACAUGCAAGUCGAACGGAAUAUCUUCGGAUAUUUAGUGGCGAACGGGUGAGUAAUGUACAGGUAAUGUACCUUCGUACUGCGAAUAACAAGCUGAAAAGUUUGCUAAUACGGAAUAGUUUCCUUCGGGGGCAUCCUUAAAGGAAUAAAGAUUUAUCGUGCGGAGAUCAGCCUGUAUCCUAUUAGUUAGUUGGUGGGGUAAUGGCCUACCAAGACGACGAUGGGUAACUGGUCUGAGAGGAUGAGCAGUCACAUUGGAACUGAGAAACGGUCCAAACUCCUACGGGAGGCAGCAGUGAGGAAUUUUGCGCAAUGGGGGAAACCCUGACGCAAGCAACGCCGCGUGAGUGACGACGGCCUUCGGGUUGUAAAGCUCUGUCGUGUGUGACGAGUAGGGACGGUAACACACAAGGAAGCCUCGGCUAACUACGUGCCAGCCGCUGC